rnacentral:rRNA from 1 species
UGGGGAAUAUUGCACAAUGGGCGAAAGCCUGAUGCAGCAACGCCGCGUGAGUGAUGACGGUCUUCGGAUUGUAAAGCUCUGCCUUUGGGGACGAUAAUGACGGUACCCAAGGAGGAAGCCACGGCUAACUACGUGCCAGCAGCCGCGGUAAUACGUAGGUGGCAAGCGUUGUCCGGAUUUACUGGGCGUAAAGGGUGCGUAGGCGGACCUUUAAGUGAGAUGUGAAAUCCCCGAGCUUAACUUGGGGGCUGCAUUUCAAACUGGAGGUCUAGAGUGCAGGGGAGGAGAGUGGAAUUCCUAGUGUAGCGGUGAAAUGCGUAGAGAUUAGGAAGAACACCAGUGGCGAAGGCGACUCUCUGGACCGUAACUGACGCUGAGGCACGAAAGCGUGGGGAGCAAACAG